rnacentral:rRNA from 1 species
UACGUAGGUGGCAAGCGUUAUCCGGAAUUAUUGGGCGUAAAGCGCGCGCAGGUGGUUUCUUAAGUCUGAUGUGAAAGCCCACGGCUCAACCGUGGAGGGUCAUUGGAAACUGGGAGACUUGAGUGCAGAAGAGGAAAGUGGAAUUCCAUGUGUAGCGGUGAAAUGCGUAGAGAUGUGGAGGAACACCAGUGGCGAAGGCGGCUUUCUGGUCUGUAACUGACGCUGAGGCGCGAAAGCGUGGGGAGCAAACAGG